rnacentral:lncRNA from 1 species
GGUUUAUUAAGCAAAUUCUUUACUAAAAGACAUUACCAACUUUAGACUAAAGAUCAGUUUUGAUUUGUUUCUGAAGGGCAUAUGUAUAAGCAUUUCGUCCUAUAAAAUAUACUUUUUUAAGCAGAUAUAAAAUGCACCUACUCCCAGCACCUUUGCAUUCAAUUGCAAUGCCCUAUGCAUAUGUUUCCUUAUUUAUCGCAUGGAAUCUGUAUUGCCGUUGAACUAGUCUUGGGGACUUUGCCUCCUAGCCUUAUCAGGGGCCUUUUAUCCCAACCUUGACAAGGCUAUACCAAAAUAUGAAGUUGGUGUUUGCCUG